AAGUCGGCCUAUGAUAGUGAGCAUUUGUUCCUCAAAAGAACCAAAAUAGGAACACACCAGCAAUCGAGUUUUCUGCAGAAAUCUACGUCUCCUACUUCUUGUCUAACCCAACUUCUUUGCUGGUGGAGAAGUCCAUAUUCGAUCCAAACCCGUCCAAAUCAAACUGAUACCACCAUCUCUUUUUGCUCGUUACAGCCCCGG
rnacentral:lncRNA from 1 species